rnacentral:rRNA from 1 species
UACGGAGGGUGCAAGCGUUGCUCGGAAUUAUUGGGCGUAAAGCGCGUGUAGGCUGUUACUUAAGUCUGGUGUGAAAUCCCGGGGCUUAACCCCGGAAGUGCAUUGGAUACUGAGUAACUAGAGGGCAGAAGAGGAUGGUGGAAUUCCUGGUGUAGGGGUGAAAUCCGUAGAUAUCAGGAGGAACAUCGGUGGCGAAGGCGGCCAUCUGGUCUGCACCUGACGCUGAGACGCGAAAGCGUGGGUAGCAAACAGG